UUUUCAAGAACAGGGGUAUCAAUAUUUACAAUAUAAAUAAAUACACAUGCAAUGUCAUUACAUGAUACUGGCAGAAAUUGUUGGCACACCCGACAGAUUGCCAUAAAAAUGCCAUCAUAGCGGCAAGAUGGCGGCGAAGCAGAUCAUCAGUUGGCAGCAAGUGAAGAAAACUAAUGCCUUAUUAUUAUGCCUGUAUUCUGUGAAGGAAAGCAGUCUCGUCUGCCAUUUGGUCACAACGGUGCAAGGAGCAGUGGACCCCUGGAUGUAAUAAACAUGCCGAUGUCUGUGGGCCAAUGGAGAUUGGAGGAUCCAGAUCCUACUGCGUGAGAGACUGCCAGUGAUACCAGGUCAGCUGUUUCUACACAACACUCAGUUCGGCUACAUUGUUGCUGGCACUGCACCAUUGAACAGCGAGGGAUGUUCAUCACUACCAAGUAACUUUUGCAACUUUCCUAUUUUUUCGGGAAUACCGCCGCUGCCCCCGGGCCAUGCCUCUAUAAUGAGAAGAUCACCUGGGUGAAGAUGACGAUGCAACAUCGACAUGUCGAAGUACCCAGCGAAUGUGACGACAAAACUACUAAAUGGAUUUUGAUCAACAGACAACCUGGAUAGGCAACUUUUUAAAAAUCCUAGAAUCACUACCAGAAAACUUUUUAGCUCUAAGUUUUAUUUUAACAGUUACUAGAAAAUAAAACCGAGAGCAUGUUAAAUAAAACAAACCAACACCUAUCCCAAAAGAAAUGGUAGAAACAUAAUCAACAAAAUAUAUCAUACAGGUUACCAGAUAAGGCAAGUAAUAAUGAAAAAUAAUUUAU